rnacentral:lncRNA from 1 species
CACCGACUUCGCGCAAUCCGUUGUGGCGCCCUGGCCACGUCGUGUCCAUAUAGGGGGACCACGACCGGAUUUGCAUGUUCCCCCUCUGUUUCCUAUCUUCGCGAACACCACUGAACUAGUGACGGAGAGGGAAAGCGGCGAAUCCGCAUCUAGUCGACCCGCGCCGCCGCGGGUGAACUUCACCGUGCUUACGACCGGUGCCGAGCAGUGGCGCACUAGGGCUUCACGGGUCUUGUUGGGUGGUGAUCGCUGCCGCGCCGCUCGGAAUUGCUCGUCUGCGCCCCGAGAAUUUCUCACCGUCGCGAUCGUUCCGCCGCGGACCGCAUCCUCUCUAUGGCUUGAGCAGUACACCGCGAACGCGCCGGUAUGAAUCCCCUUCUUGUGCUUGCUAAGUUCUCCUACUCGGGUUACGCGUCUAGGGUUGGGUUAUGGGGCACCUGGGUGCGAGGUGUCAGGUGUGGGAGCUCCGGCGAGUGGACCGCCGUGAGGCCUGUGCGCCGCCGUGUGCGGACAGUGGACUUGGGGAAGAAGGUGGCCGGAAUUGUGCGAGUCGUUAGAUCGUUCUGAUGCGGCUCGGAUUAGAUGUAUGAUACCGGUUUGCUGGGGGUGAUUGUCAACCGUCGAUCUCGUAUCGCACGAUCACGGUUGAGCCUGGGAUGGUUAUUAGAUCAGAUCUAAUCCGCGCCGUCUGCGCAUGAUCCAACGGGGAGUGCAGGCCGAUACCCCUUCGGUUUGCACUGUUUGCAGACAAACCCUUAUACUUUUAGAAAAUAGAACCCGCAGUCCACCUUGAGGGAGUCCUGUGUCUUGAAUCAUUUUUCACCAGAGCCCCUACACUUUCCAGGUAUUGGUGCGCAGUCCAGAGAGGAAUAAAAAUAGAGAAAUAAUUAUAGAAAUUGGUUUAAUACAAAAAUAAUUCUAGAAACUUGGGAAAUUCAUAUUUAAUUCAUUUUAACUUCAAAUUAAUCCAUUCCAGUUCCUAUAAUUUUGUAAUAGUGUUGUUUAUCACAUAGUGUAUCUAUUUUGACAUGAAAACCAUAUUAAAAUGUAUCUCUUAUUUAAUCUUGUAUCAAAUAUAUAAAACCUUUGGAAAUUCAUAACUUAAAAUCCAUAACACCAAAAUUAAUGAUUCCUGUUCCUAGGAUCUUAUUUUAAUGUGUAGAUUAUUAUUAUGUAUUUUGUUUACAUGUUUGGUGUGAUGUUAAUUUUUGCUAUACUAUGUAUGUUUGUAUUGAUGCGAGAAGACGAGCCAGCCACUGAGGAUCCAGAGGUUCAGCUAGUAGAGACUGCUGAGCAGGAGCUUGUUGAAGGCAAGUUGUGCCCUUGAUCACUUCUUUUUACCCAGUAAUGUUCUUAUUAAUCAUAGUAAUCUGCAUAGGUUAAUUUUGAUGGGAUCCUUUAGGUUACCCUAGUUUGAUUAUCUUUGUACCUUGAAUCCACUGAACUUUUUGGGUAGUACUUGCUAUUGCUUUAUGUGGUUUUGGGUAUGGAGAUACAUUAUUCAUGAUCACACGUUUAUUAUUUGUUUAUUAUUACUAUUCAUGUUAAGAUCAUUAUGUUAAUGGGAACAUUGAGCGACCACCCGGGAAAACAGUGCUACCACAAGGGUGGUAUGGGACGCCCUUGGCUGAUUAACUAGGAAAGCUAGUGGAUGACUACCUUACCCAAUAGGGGCAAGGGCAGUAGGGGAGUGGUCAGUGUAGGGAUGUCCUUGGGUUGAUGUUGCUGCGAUGGCGGUCAGGCGAGGGAUCCCUGCACUGGAGCUUCCUAUAAACUGUAGCGAGUUUUCUGAAGCUAGUGGAACUUUGUAAAGGCCUUGUAGUGUUACCCUACCUCUCCUCCUCGGUAGAGGUGUAUGGGAUUGGCCGUCUCUUGGCAGACGGGUAACAUGACUUGUGGGUAAAGAUGCGCAGCCUCUGCAGAGUGUAAAACUGGUAUACUAGCCGUGCUGACGGUCAUGAGCAGCUCGGACCCUCACAUGAUUAAUUUAUGGAAUUAAAAUUCAAUUUGUCAUUUGCAUCACAUUGAGUUUAUUUUGGUAUUACUUUUAUUUAUUAUUACUAUGGUUUGGUAUUCACUUACACUUAGUAACUGUUAAUAAAAUUUGACCUACUUAUAAAAGCAAUGCUCAGCUUCAACCUUUAUUUUGUUGAUCACCCUUACACAUCACAUGAACUCCCACCUUUGGUGAGUUCAUGCACAAUAUUCCCCACAACUUGUUGAUCUAUGAACGUAUGUGAGCUCACCCUUGCUGUCUCACACCCCACACAGGAGAAGAACAGGUGGUUCAAGAGGAGCCGCCCAACGAGGAGUUCGACUUAAUCUUGGUGGCGUCUCCCAGUCAGCUUUGUGGCGAGGGAAAUAAGAUUUAGUUCAUUUUAUAUUUAUCAUUUAUUUUGUAAGACUUCCUCUAUGUAAUAAGUACAUUUAUGAUAUUUAUGGCAUUUAUCUAUAU